UACGUAGGGCGCAAGCGUUGUCCGGAAUUAUUGGGCGUAAAGAGCUCGUAGGCGGUUUGUCGCGUCUGUCGUGAAAGCCCACGGCUUAACCGUGGGUCUGCGGUGGAUACGGGCAGACUAGAGGCAGGUAGGGGAGAAUGGAAUUCCCGGUGUAGCGGUGAAAUGCGCAGAUAUCGGGAGGAACGCCGGUGGCGAAGGCGGUUCUCUGGGCCUGUACUGACGCUGAGGAGCGAAAGCGUGGGGAGCGAACAGG
rnacentral:rRNA from 1 species